rnacentral:rRNA from 1 species
GAUGAACGCUGGCGGCGUGCCUAAUACAUGCAAGUCGAGCGAACAGACGAGGAGCUUGCUCCUCUGACGUUAGCGGCGGACGGGUGAGUAACACGUGGAUAACCUACCUAUAAGACUGGGAUAACUUCAGGAAACCGGAGCUAAUACCGGAUAAUAUAUUGAACCGCAUGGUUCAAUAGUGAAAGACGGUUUUGCUGUCACUUAUAGAUGGAUCCGCGCCGCAUUAGCUAGUUGGUAAGGUAACGGCUUACCAAGGCAACGAUGCGUAGCCGACCUGAGAGGGUGAGCGGCCACACUGGAACUGAGACACGGUCCAGACUCCUACGGGAGGCAGCAGUAGGGAAUCUUCCGCAAUGGGCGAAAGCUUGACGGAGCAACGCCGCGUGAGUGAUGAAGGUCUUCGGAUCGUAAAACUCUGUUAUUAGGGAAGAACAAAUGUGUAAGUAACUAUGCACGUCUUGACGGUACCUAAUCAGAAAGCCACGGCUAACUACGUG